ACGUGUUAUUCGUGUAGAACGUAUCAGUCUCUCAGUGUAGCUUAUCGACCUCAGAUUUCAGAGAAGCAGUACUUUGUGACGGCGUUGGCAGCGAGGGCGAAGCUGAAGGCGUGGUCGGACGUAGACGCUCUGUUCACCUGCAGGAAUUGGCUCGGAUUCACCAAGAAGAAAUCUCCUCUCAGCUUCCAUCGAGUCGUCGACAUCCUGCAGAAAAACUCUGCCCCCGCACAGGUGUUGCAGGAGUACGUCGGCCUGGUCGAUGACGCCGACACGAGGACCUGUCUUGCGCAGAAACUGAAAUGUCACGACAUCGUCAUCAACACGUACCGGGAUCUGAAGGACCGACAGCUGUUGCUAGGAUACCGAGGGAAGGUGGAGAAAGGUUCAGCAGAGGAGAGGAAGAUCAACGAGCUGCUGGACAACCCGCAAAUCCGCUGGAAGAACUGAUCCACGGAAUCUUCAACAGUCUCGGUUCAGCGACCGCCUCCCCCAACGUUGGUCUGGUCUUAUUGCGUCAACAGCAUGUCCCGCCCUUAAAGCUAUCGCCUAGCAACAGAGCUACGGUCAUUGGAGUUCUUCGGUCGAUUCAAAAUGUCUUGAAAUGCAGCCUCCGAAGGGUGUGGCCCUGGAUUAAGACUGUCCAUCACCAUGACAACCACAUUCCUCCGAGAAAACUUUUUUUUACAUGAACAAUAAAGUUAUUUAAAAUUGUAAAA